GUAGGGAAUAUUGGGCAAUGGAGGCAACUCUGACCCAGCCAUGCCGCGUGCAGGAUGACGGCCCUCUGGGUUGUAAACUGCUUUUAUUCGGGAAGAAAAAAUACUACGUGUAGUAUACUGACGGUACCGUAAGAAUAAGGAUCGGCUAACUCCGUGCCAGCAGCCGCGGUAAUACGGAGGAUCCAAGCGUUGUCCGGAUUUAUUGGGUUUAAAGGGUGCGUAGGCGGAUCUUUAAGUCAGUGGUGAAAGCCUGCAGCUUAACUGUAGAAUUGCCAUUGAAACUGAAGAUCUUGAAUGUGGUUAAAGUAGGCGGAAUGUAUCAUGUAGCGGUGAAAUGCUUAGAUAUGAUACAGAACACCGAUAGCGAAGGCAACUUGCUGAACCAUUAUUGACGCUGAGGCACGAAAGCGUGGGGAGCGAACAGGAUUAGAAACCCGGGUAGUCC
rnacentral:rRNA from 1 species